CCUACGGGAGGCAGCAGUGGGGAAUAUUGCACAAUGGGGGUAACCCGGAUGCAGCGACGCCGCGUGAGUGAAGAAGUAAUUCGUUAUGUAAAGCCUUAUCAGCAGGGAAGCAAAUGACGGUACCUGUGUAAGAACUCCCGGCGAACUACGUGCCAGCAGCCGCGGUAACACGUAGGGCGGAAGCGUUAUCCGGAUUUAUUGGGUGUAAAGGGGGCGUAGACGGCAGUGCAAGUCUGGUGUGAAAGGCGGGGGCUCAACCCCCGGACUGCUCUGGAAACUGUCCGGCCGGAGUGCAGGAGAGGUAAGUGGAAUGCGUGGUGUAGCGGUGAAAUGCGUAGAUAUUAGGAGGAACACCAGUGGCGAAGGCGGCUUACUGGACUGUAACUGACGUUGAGGCUCGAAAGCGUGGGGAGCGAACAGGAUUAGAUACCCGAGUAGUC
rnacentral:rRNA from 1 species